rnacentral:rRNA from 1 species
GAUGAACGCUGGCGGCGUGCCUAAUACAUGCAAGUCGAGCGAAUGGAUUAAGAGCUUGCUCUUAUGAAGUUAGCGGCGGACGGGUGAAUAACACGUGGGUAACCUGCCCAUAAGACUGGGAUAACUCCGGGAAACCGGGGCUAAUACCGGAUAACAUUUUGAACCGCAUGGUUCGAAAUUGAAAGGCGGCUUCGGCUGUUACUCAUGGAGGGACCCGCGUCGCAUUAGCUAGUUGGUGAGGUAACGGCUCACCAAGGCAACGAUGCGUAGCCGACCUGAGAGGGUGAUCGGCCACACUGGGACUGAGACACGGCCCAGACUCCUACGGGAGGCAGCAGUAGGGAAUCUUCCGCAAUGGACGAAAGUCUGACGGAGCAACGCCGCGUGAGUGAUGAAGGCUUUCGGGUCGUAAAACUCUGUUGUUAGGGAAGAACAAGUGCUAGUUGAAUAAGCUGGCACCUUGACGGUACCUAACCAGAAAGCCACGGCUAACUACGUGCCAGCCGCCGCAGUAA